rnacentral:lncRNA from 1 species
UCUUGUAUAAUUGUAAAAUCCUUCUCAAGUGACCAUUCACAAUCAUCUAAAAGGCCUUUAAAUAAGGGUAUGUGAUUGUGUUGUUAUACAAAAUAUAAUUUGCAUAUGUCCAUUUUCUAGUUUCUACAAUGUUGGUUUUAAUUUAUCAAAAACUAUUCUCAAACCUUUUUCUUCUUCUCUCUGUCUCCCAUGUUUUUAUUUAAAUUAGGGUUCAUGUCAAAGUCAUAUGCAGUAGCAGCCCACAAAAUACUCAAGAAGGUUAGUAUCUGAUAUAUUUGCUGAAAGCUCCAAGUCUUAUAAAUGUGACAAUAGUUGGCAUGUAUAGAGGAGAAAUUCUUAGGGUCUCGUUCACACACACAAGCACAACAUCCUACUCAAGACAAUAACCUCUUGUGUAGUAGACCAAAAAAAAAAACAAGGAACCCAGAAAACCUACCAAACUAGACUGAUCAGACUGAUUUGGUUCGAUUUUCAUUUUAAAAACUGAAUUUUUUGAAACAAACGUGAAGUUUUAAUUUUAGUGAACAUAACCAAACCAACCGGGUAAGAGUGAUUCAGCCGGCAAUUAAGAGGACAACAAAAACCAAACUGAACCAUGCCCAAUCCUACUCUUUUGUAUAUUGUCCUCGUGCUCUCAUACAAUGAAAGAUGUGGGCCUCAUGGCCCUCAUUUUCCUAUUUGUGACAAAAUUAUAUUUUGCCUACUAUCAAAAUAUAAUGUGGCACUCCAUACUCGUAGUUGAAAGCAAAAGUCCAAGGGCCACGAUAUUCGUGAUUGUGAUGCAAAUUGACAAAACCAGAUUACCAUACGGCAUGACAGUGACUUUGAAAUGAUGCAGGAGCAAGGAAAUGUUGACGUGAGAAGUGAUGGAGGAGCAGCAGAUUAUAAAUCACACGUUGGCAAUCAAGAGAAUGAUUAUGACUGUAGCUAUGAUGGUGAUGAUGAGGAUGAUUACAACUGAGGUUUCAUCCAUCUGUGUGACUGAUAACCAUGUCCAUCUACCAAAUCAAGAGUAUGAGGAGGAUAUCCCACCCUGUCACGUCGUAUACAAGAUUUUACCGAGUUUCCGAGUCUGUUUUGUAAUCCAUUUGCUUUUAUUUGUAAACGACAAACUCAAUAAGACGUUUAGGUAUGGAGAAUGUCUCAUCACUGAAGUGGGUCUAACAAAAUGCAUCACUAUUGCUGUAUAUUGCUUAAUGCACAAUUCUUAUUUGUGCUCUUUG